GACGAACGCUGGCGGUGUGCUUAACACAUGCAAGUGGUGCGACGAACCUGGCUUCGGCCAGGGGCAAAGCCGCGAACGGGUGAGUAACACGUGGGUAAUCUGCCCCGAUGACUGGGACAACCCGAGGAAACUCGGGCUAAUACCGGAUGUGGUGCCUGGACAUAAGUCUGGUCACUAAAGGUAGCUUCGGCUUCCGCAUUGGGAGGGGCCCGCGGCCCAUUAGCUUGUUGGUGGGGUCAAGGCCUACCAAGGCAACGAUGGGUAGCUGGUCUGAGAGGACGAUCAGCCACACUGGGACUGAGAUACGGCCCAGACUCCUACGGGAGGCAGCAGUGGGGAAUCUUGCGCAAUGCGCGAAAGCGUGACGCAGCAACACCGCGUGAGGGAAGACGGCCUUAGGGUCGUAAACCUCUUUCAGAUGGGACGAAGGUUGUCCGGUGAAUAGCCGAGAUGAUUGACGGUACCGUCAGAAGAAGCUCCGGCUAACUACGUGCCAGCCGCCGCCGUAAGAC
rnacentral:rRNA from 1 species